rnacentral:rRNA from 1 species
AACGAACGCUGGCGGCAUGCCUAACACAUGCAAGUCGAACGAGACCUUCGGGUCUAGUGGCGCACGGGUGCGUAACGCGUGGGAACCUGCCCUUAGGUUCGGAAUAACUCCCCGAAAGGGGUGCCAAUACCGGAUAAUGUCUUCGGACCAAAGAUUUAUCGCCUUUGGAUGGGCCCGCGCUGGAUUAGCUAGUUGGUAGGGUAAAAGCCUACCAAGGCGACGAUCCAUAGCUGGUCUGAGAGGAUGAUCAGCCACACUGGGACUGAGACACGGCCCAGACUCCUACGGGAGGCAGCAGUGGGGAAUAUUGGACAAUGGGCGAAAGCCUGAUCCAGCAAUGCCGCGUGAGUGAUGAAGGCCUUAGGGUUGUAAAGCUCUUUUACCCGGGAUGAUAAUGACAGUACCGGGAGAAUAAGCUCCGGCUAACUCCGUG